rnacentral:lncRNA from 10 species
AGCGGUCACCCCAGGAGAACACGACAGGCGGGGAGGAGGAAGUUGCCUCCGAUCGGACGAGGCAGGGCACGGGCCGGGGUCACUCCUGGUCGAUUUAGAGGGACGUGGAAAGGGACUGGAGGCCCCCACUGGCGCCUUCCCAAGGACCUGAGUGCCUCCUCCCCCAGCUGCCAGACCAGGGCGCUUUAUCCAGCUGGCGCCCUCCCUCGGGCCCCCUCACUGGGACAGAAGAAAAUUCACCACGAAGUGAGCAGUCUCGGUGAAUAGCAUGGUGUCCAGCCGGUCUGGCCCGACUUCGGCCUCUCUUUAAUACCUGCCUGGGCGAGGAGGGGGAGGCCUGAAAACCCAUAUUCCCCCCGGGCCCGGCUGUUUUUAGCAGAAGGCCAGGAGGCGUCAGCUGGCAGAGGGGUUGGGGGCAGAGCUGGUCUCUCUCGUGAGGUCUAGUCUAGUCUGCCCCCACUAGCCGCUUCAGUGGGAGGGGGCUGGUCACCAGAUCUCCAGGUUCCCCAGAGACACUCCUCCCCAGGGUCAAGGACAGAAGUGCAAGGACAAACAGAGGCAGCAGGAGGGGGCCAGGGACAGGAAGGUCAGCUGCCCAUUGGAGAAACCCUUCCUCAUCCCACCCAGGGCUUCCAGCCCCUGCUCACACACUUUUUUUUUGAGACAGGAUCUCACUUUGUCAUCCAGGCUGGAGUGCAGUGGGGCGAUCAUAGCUCACUGCAGCCUCGACCUCCUAGGCUCUAACGAUCCUCCUGCCUCAGCCCCCCAAGUAACUGGGACUAUAGGCACUCACCACCAGACCUGGCUAAUUUUUUGUAUUUUUUUGUAGAUACAGGGUUUCACUAUGUAGCCAAGGCUAGUCUUGAAUUCGUGAGCUCAAGUGAAUCACCGGCCUUGGCCUCUCAAGUCUAGGAUUACAGGUGAGCCACCAUGCCCAACCUUUUUUUAUUUUCUUUUUUCUUUUUUUUUUGAGACAGGGUCUCAACUCUGGCACCCAGGCUGGAGUGCAGUGGCACAAUCACUGCUCACUGCAUCCUCGACCUCCUAGGGCCCUAGCAGUCCUCCUACAUUAGCUGGAGGAUUGCUGGGAUUGCAGCAGCUGGAACCACAGGCCUGCACCACCAAGUACAGCUAAUUUUUGUGUGUGUGUGUGUGUGUGUGUGUUUGCUUUGUUUUGUAGAGACUUUUGCCAUGUUGUCUAGGCUGGUCUCAAACUCCUGGGAUCAAGCAAUCUGCCCCCCUCCCAGUCAGCUUCCCAAAAGUGCUGGGAUUACAGGCAUGAGCCACCACUCCUGGCUGGCCUCCCACACUCCUGAUGGUGUGCUCAGGCACAAAUCACGCCUCAAAGGGCCUCCUCUUCUCCCAGGCUUAGGCACACCCUGACCUGCUCCCCAUGGCUUUCAUGGGAGCCUUUUCCCUAAUUCUAUGCAUGCUUAAAUGGCAGCUCCUCAGCCAACUCUAGUUCAGGAGGCUGCUGGGGCUCCAGGACUCCCUAAACUGUCAGCAAAGUCCUGACACUUUCCUUCCCCAAAACUGAAAAGCCCUUGAUCUGUUUAACCCUCUCUUUUUGCAGAAGAGGAAACUGAGGUUCACAAUCGGGCAGUGAAAAGCCAAAAGUAAAACCUAGGCUUUCUACAACUCUGCCUGCUCCUACAAAAGGUGAGACAACCCUUCUGUGUGUCCUUGUCCAGCUCAGCAUGGGGUUCAGGGCUCAGAGCCCAGGCUGGGCCCUGCUCCUCCCUGACCCCUGGGGAUCCUAAGGAACAUGCUGGCCCAGCUCCCCUUCCCACACUGCCAGUUUGGGCUAUUUCCCCCCCAGUGACUCACACUGGCUGCCGGAGAGAGUGGGCAGCUGUUCUGAGCCCCCAGAGCCCAGUACAGGCCCUGACUUGCCCCCCAAGUUCUGCAGCCAUAUUUGGGAAUUUAAUGUUUUUCCUCCUUGGGGACUCUCCUUCCCUUAAUCCCUUCCUUUUUUCCCUGUCUUCAACCAUUUUUCCUUAUCUUCAGCCUCACCCUCCCUGAUGGCUUCUUCCAUAGGCAGACAAACAGGCUCUAGUCUUUCAUAUCUUUGAAAAAAAGAAAGCCCUCCCUCAACUCCACAUCCUUCGCCAGCUCCCCUCUGCAGCCAGCAUUCUUGAAGGAGUUGUAUACACACGUUGUUUCUACUUCCUCACUCAGCCCCUGCAAUCUGGCUUCCUCCCCCACCAUUCCACAGGAACAGCCUGCCAAGGUCACUGCUGACCUCCUUGUUGCUAAAUCCAAGGGAUGCUUAAAAGUCUUUAUCUGCCUUGACCCCUUAGCAGUGGCCAGCUUUGACACAAAUACUCCUUCCUCUUUCAGAUACUUUUAGGCCCUUGUAUUUCUGGACACUGUGCACUUUUGAUUUUCUUGCUAUCUUAUGGGUUGCUGCCACAUGGCAAAUUUCUUAUCCUUUGCUCACUGCCUAAUCAUGGUUGUUCCCAGGCCUGCUACAGUCUGUCCCCAGGGAGUCUCAUCAGCUCCCAUGCCUUCAGCAUCCAGCCCAUGUCAGAAACUCAUGUCUCUUUCUCAGUCCAGCCCUCUCCCCAACCCCACACCUGCCUCCUGGACCCCUCCUGCUGGAUGUCCCACCUCUCAGGAAACAGGCUGCAUACCUGCCCUCCCUCCAUGUUCCCCAGCUUAGCCAUCUCCCAGUUGUCUGAACCUGAAAUCUGGACUUGGUUCUAGAUUCUGCCCUCUCUCGCCUUUUUUUUUUUUUUUUUUUGAGACAGAGUCUUGCUGUGUCGCCCAGGCUGGAGUGCAGUGGUGCAAUCUCGGCUCUCUGCAACCUCUGCCUCCCGGGUUCAAGCAAUUCUCCUGCCUCAGCUUCCUGAGUAACUGGGACUAUAGGCGUGCACCACCAUGCCCGGCUAAUUUUUAUAUUUUUAGUAGAGAUGGGGUUUCACCAUGUUGGCCAUGCUGGUCUUGAACUCCUGACCUCAUGAUCCACCCUCCUCGGCCUCCCAGUGCUGGGAUUACAGGUGUGAGCCACUGUGCCCAGCUUCUCUCACCCUUUUCAUCCUCAAGCAGCUAUGAAAACCUGUCCUUUCAGGACGUACCUAAAAUCCCAUAGCUUCUCUCCACUUCCGCCACCAACACUUGAGCCAAGGGCCCAUCACCUUUCACCUCCUGCAGCAGCCUCCUGACCUGUCUCCCUGCUGCCACUCUCAAUCCCCUGUGUGGUCUGUUCCUAUAGGGCAGCUGGGUGUGUCUUUCCAACAUAGGAAUAUGUCUCCCUGCACCAUGUCUUUAGCAUCAAGUUCACCCAACCCAUGCCCCUGCCAACCCCAGUAUUGGGGCAUUCCUCAGUCUUUGCCUGGGUAACAGCUUCUCAUCCUUCAGUUCAAGCGUCCGUUCCUCAUGAGAGCCAUUUCCAAACUCCCAGCCAGGCAGGUGGCUCUGCUAUUUCUUCUCCUCACAGCACCAAGGCCUCUCCUCUGUGGACAUCGCAAGCAGUCAUUCACAAACUAGUCUAAUCUGCAGAUUCCUGAGCCCUCCUGUUCUAGAUCCUGGGGAUGUCAGGAGGAGGACAGUCCAGCCCCUGGCCCCUGUCAUGUAAUGGGGAAGACAGGCAUUAAGCUGAGAUCAGGAAUAGAUACGGACACUGAAGGCAACACAGUGGCCAUGCAGGCCCUAAGGAUGGUGGUCAGGGGGACUGUCUUUGAGGGUGAUCUGUGGGGUCAGGGGAAGCUAUUCCAGGCAGAAGGGAUGGUGUACUUAAGGUAGGAGGAAUGUUUUGUGAUGAUUUGAAAGGUGUCCAGUGUGGCUGCACAAGUGAUGUGAAGAAGCCAUUGAUGAGGUUUAAAUAGGAGACUGACCCAGCUGCGUUUGUGGUCUUUAUAAAAUAAUUCUGGAUUGGAGGAAUCAAUUGAGGAAGGAAGGAGGGAAACCUGGCAGGGAGCUGCCGGGAUAAUUGGGUGAGUAGUAAGGGGGGCCUGACUCAGGGCAGUGGCAGUGGAUUUGGGGCAGACUGAACUGUGGUUGCCUGUACUGGAGUCAGGGAAGAGGGAGGGAAUGAGAAUGAUUCUGGUCUUCCUACCCUAAUGGUGGGUGGGAGAGGGCAGUGGGAACUGGACCACCCAUAUCCCUGUGGUGACCGUACCUGCAGUCCCUCAUCCAUCCUUUGUCUUUUUUCUUUUUUUUUUUUUUUUGAGACAGAGUCUCGCUUUGUCACCCAGGCUGGAGUGCAGUGGCACGAUCUCAGCUCACUGCAACGUCCACCUCCCGGGUACAAGUGAUUCUCCUGCCUCAGCCUCCUGAGUAGCUGGGAUUACAAGCACACGCCACCAUGUCUGGCUCAUUUUUGUAUUUUUAGUAGAGACGGGGUUUCACCAUUUUGGUCAGGCUGGUCUUGAACUCCUGACCUUGUGAUCUGCCUGCCUCGGCCUCCGAAAGUGCUGGGAUUACAGGUGUGAACCACUGCGCCUGGCCAUCUUUUUUUCUUUUAUUCAUGCAGUGACAUGAUCUCAGCUCACUGUAGCCUUGACCUUCCAGGCUCAAGCGAGCCUCCUAGCUCAGCCUCCUGAGUAGCUGGGACUACAAGCACACGCUACCACACCCGGCUAAUAUUUUUAAUUUGUAGAGACGCCAUGUUGUCCAGGCUGGUCUUGAACUCCUGUGUUCAAAAGAUACACCUGCCUCAGCCUCCCAGAGUGCUGGGAUUACAGGUGUGAGCCACUGCACUGGCCUCAUCCUUUUUCUUUUCUUUCCUUCCUUUCCCUUUCCUUUUUCCUUCCCUCCUUUCCUCCCUUCCUCCCUUCCUUACUUUCCUUUUUCUUUCUCUUUCCUUGCUUCCUUCCUUUUCUUCUUUCUUUCUUUCUUUUCUUUCUUCCUUCCUUUCUUCCUUUAUCUCUCUUUUCUUUCUUUCUCUCUCUCUUUCCCUUUCUUUUUUAUUUUUGAGACAGAGUCUCACUCUGGUGCCCAGCCAGGAGUGCAGUGGCAUGAUCUUGGCUCAUGGCAACCUCAACCUCCUGAACUCAGGUGAUCCUCCCGCCUCAGCCUCCCAAAUAGUUGGGACUACAGGCAUGUGCCACCACGCCUGGCUAUUUUUUUUUUUUUUUUUUUGUAGAGACAGGGUUUUGCCAUGUUGCCCAGGCUGGUCUCAAACUCCUGGCCUCAAGAGGUCUGCCCACCUCAGCCUCCCAAAGUGCUGGGAUUACAGGCAUAAGCCACCAUGCCUGGGCACCCAUCCUUUUUCUUAGAAGAGCAGAUGGAGGCCCCUAAGAGGUAGAAGGCUGCUAAUAAGGCCUAGGACAAGGCAGAGGGGAGGAGAAGGGAAAGUUGGGUCCGAGUCCGGAUGUGAUGAGGUUUCAGGGAAAGUGGCAUCUGGGGUUUCCUCAGAGCCUGGAAAUUCCACUGUUUCCGGGACCACUCUGAGAUCCCCAAAUCCUGAGAUGCUCAAACCCUGAGGCCCAGUCCUUGUAAGUCCUGGGGGCCCUCUAGGGGGUGUGAGUCUGUAUCUGGAGGUCCACAAUCCCCUGACAAGUUUCAAGGUGGUGAGUAGGAUUCUUGACCGUCCCUAAUGCCAAUGUACAGUUCGGGUGAGGCACACCCCACGCCUGUUACCUGCAUGAUCCCAUGUCAUCCUCAUGUAAUCCUUGGAGGCACAUAGCUUAUUUAUUCCCAUGGCACCUAUGAGACUUCAAAGGGUUAAAGAACUUGCUCAAAUUCACACGGCUAGGAUGAGGCAGAGUGAGGAUUUGAACCAAGGUUUGACUGACAUCAGAGUCUGUGCUUUUAACUCCUGUGCUAUAUUAAGUCUGGCGACCCCCCUGGUUGAUUGGCUCAGUAAGAGGAGGAGGAUUUGUGGGGGAUUUGCUUGUGGUUGGGGUGGCUGUCCCCCUCUCAUAUCAAGCGAUGGGAAAGGGUAGCGCUGACGUCGAUUAUUGCCAUGGUGAUACAGCAACCCUUUCCCUGCUGUCUCCAUGGUAACCUGGGGGGUCCAUCUGUACUUCGCCCCCUCCUUCUAAAAGGGGGUCCCUUAGGGAGGGGCUGGCUAAUAAGGUGUCUGGGAAAUAAGUCAGGGAAGGCAGUGAUUGGAGCAUCCCCCUUUGCCUGGCCCCUCCCCAUUCCUCAGGCCCAGAGAGUAAGGCUGGGAUCUGCAUUGGGUCCUGCACUGGGGUCCGGGGACAGAUGUAACCUUUAGGGUGAGGGAGGCAGCUCUGUCUUUUCCACCUGGGGAUUCCCUUGGAAAUUCCCCUGCCCCCAAUCCCCCCACCAAGUUCUUAGGCUCCUGAACAGAACUGCUAGGAAGUUGGCAGAGAGAGGCAAGAGGGUUUCCUCAGCCCUCUUCAGGGCUGGACAUCACCCAACCCCUGGGGACAGUGUCUUUGGCUGUCUGGCUGUCUGCUGUCCCUUGAAGCCAAAGGUAGGAGCAGCAGCCGUAGCAGUCUCUCUUGCUUAUCAAGUGGUAGCUUUGGCAGUGAUUCCUGCAUGGUGCUAUACAUACAGGUCCUUACUGAAACUUUCUACCAGGUGUCAAUUAGCCCUACUUAACAGAUUUGAAGAUGGAGGCUCAGAGGGGCUAAGUAACUAGCUCAAGACUGCACAGUUAGAGAAACAGCAGAGUUAGGACUUGAACUCAGCACUAGUUUCGGCCAGUGGCUCUUCCAGUGGAAAGGAGUAAGAAGAAACAGAACAGGAUGGAAGAGAAGAGAAAUAGGAGAAUGAAGUGACCCAGGUAGGAGCCUGUCGUGCUCUGCCUGCCUGCAGAACAAAGUUCAAACUCCUUCACCUGGUACGCAAAGGUCUCCUUGAUCCAGCUUCUCUUCUGUUAACCCAUUCCUGGAUCCCCUGCAUUCUAUGCUCUGAAAGGGAAAAUGAUGUCAGAUUCAGGGCUGGGUUCUCAGUACCAGGCAUGGCCCAGGAAGGUGUUGAUGAAAAUUGAUGAACUGAGUUUCUUGAAAUUGUCCUUCACUUUCCUGCCUCCAGGCCUUUACCCACAAUGCUUCCUCCCCAAAGGGAAUGCCCUUUCUCUUGCUCAUGGACAUUCUAGAGCUAACUAGCCCCAUUGGCAAGGACUGCGUCUAGAAUCUUUGUAUCCCUCACAAAUCAGGUACGUGGGAUGUGGCAGUAACUGGUUUCUAAAUUUUUUUUUUUUUUUUGAGAUGGAGUCUCACUCUGUCACCUAGGCUGGAGUGCAGUGGUGCGAUCUCAGCUCACUGCAAGCUCCACCUCCUGGGUUCACACCAUUCUCCUGCCUCAGCCUCCCGAGUAGCUGGGACUACAGGUUCCCGCCACCACGCCUGGCUAAUUUUUUUGUAUUUUUAGUAGAGACGGGGUUUCACCAUGUUAGCCAGGAUGGUCUUCAUCUCCUGACCUCAUGAUCCACCUGCCUCGGCCUCCCAAAGUGCUGGGAUUAUAGGCGUGAUCCAUCAUGCCCAGCCUAAUUUUUUUUAGAGACAGGAUCUCACUCUGUUGCUCAGGCUGGAGUGCAGUGGUGUGACCUUGGCUCAUUGCAGCGUCAAACUCCUGGGCUCAAGCAAUCUUCCUGCCUCAGGCUCCCCGGUAGCUAGGACUACAAGCACACGCCACCAUACCUGGUUUUUUUGUUUUGUUUUGUUUUUAGAGAUGGGAUCUUGCUGUUUUCCAUGCUGGUCUUGAACUCCUGGGCUCAAGUGAUCCUCCUGCCUCAGCCUCCCAAAGUGCUGGGAUUACAGGCCUGAGCCACCAUGCCUGGCCUAUUUUUUUUUUUUUUUUAAGGAAAGGAGGGUUGAGAAGAGAGGAGAAGGAAGUGGGAGAGAUGGAAAAAAAGGAAGAAUGAGAAGGAUUCACUAUUUGGGGGCUGGCAGAGUCCAAAGAGACCAGCUGAUGCCUUUUUUUUUUAAACCAGUGAGGAAAUAGGCCCUUUUAGUAAGCCUCCUACAUGGGGACUGCCUGGGAGAGCAUUUUAUGUGGAAACUGAGAAGGGUAUCCCUUUUGGGUGACGUGGAAUUUUAAGGUGCUCUAGGGAAAGCUUGGACUUCUCUACCCUAUGAGGAUUAGAGGAGGGUGUUGAAUCAAUUGUCCUUAGAUCUCAGGGGACAGGAGACUGAACCUGACCUUUAGGUUACACUCCCCCCGUAACAAAAUUGGAAAGUAGAAUAUACGGGCUCAUUAAAGCCAAAUUGGAAAGUAGGAAAUAGUUGUUUAGCUUAAAUACUAGCACCUCCAGGCAGGCUUCCUGUCAUGGGCCCCUCCGAGGGCAGAUCUUAGGUCAUGUGGUCUCAGGAUGCUGAGGAGUGUGCUAGACUCUCAUUGGGGGACCUUGGGUAAGUCUCAAAGGCUCAGUUCACUCAUCUGUAAAAUAGGAAGUUAAACCAACGUCUUUCUUUCUCUCUCUUUUUUUUUUUUUUUUGGAUAGAGUCUUGCUCUGUUGCCCAGGCUGGAGUGCAGUGGCAUGAUCUCAGCUCACUGCAACCUCUGCCUCCUGGGUUCAAGGAAUUCUCCUGCCUCAGCCUCCCGAGUGGCUGGGAUUACAGGUGCGUACCACCACACCCAGCUAAUUUUUGUAUUUUUAGUAGAGACGGGGUUUCGCCAUGUUGGCCAGGCUGGUCUCGAACUCCUGACCUUGUGAUCCACCUGCCUCGGUCUCCCAAAGUGCUGGGAUUACAGGCGUGAGCCACCGCGCCUGGCAAGCCACCAUUUUUCAAAUGGCCUCUUCCCCAAUCUUUUUAUGAUCACUUCAGUCCUGGGAGAAACCAAGGCUCAGGAUGGACUGGGGCAGCUCCAAACCCUUCCAAUAAGGAAGGUCCCAGGCACCUAGGGCCACAAAGAGCAAGUCGCAGAACUUUGUCGCAGAACUUCUCGCUCGAGAGGAUUAAAAUGGGUCUGGUCGGGUGCCUGUAGUCCCAGCUACUUGGGAGGCUGAGGCAGGAGAAUUGUUUGAACCUGGGAGGCAGAGGUUGCAGUGAACAGAGAUCAUGCCACUGCAGUCCAGCCUGGGAAACAGAGCGAGACUCCAUCUCAUAGAUAGAUAGAUAGAUAGAUAGAUAGAUAGAUAGAUAGAUAGAUAGAUGAUAGAUAGAUAAGAUAGAUAGAUAGCCUGGUGUGGGUGGCCUAUGGCUGUAUUCUAUGUUACUUGUCGGUCCACCUCUUCCUCCUGUUCCCCGCUUCUGUGGGUUGCCAGGGUCCAGCACAGUGAUGUGAAUUUCACCGGAGAAUCACCAGAGGGUUAGAGAGAUGGACCAGGGCAGGGCCCAAGGGAAAGGCUGCCCAGGAGGGGUCAGGACCAGCAAGAUACGAGAGGAGUGAAGUGGCGUAGGUUGAAAGGCGGAAGGGCGGGCCCCUAAGGCUGGGUCCAAACGAGGAGGCUGCGGAAGGGAAAGUGUUAUUGGACUGGGCAGAGCAGCUGGUGGGCCCGACGGAUAGACAUACACUGCCAGCCCGGAG